AUUGAACGCUGGCGGCAGGCUUAACACAUGCAAGUCGAGCGGGGUGAUGGUGCUUGCACUAUCACUUAGCGGCGGACGGGUGAGUAAUGCUUAGGAAUCUGCCUAUUAGUGGGGGACAACAUCUCGAAAGGGAUGCUAAUACCGCAUACGUCCUACGGGAGAAAGCAGGGGAUCACUUGUGACCUUGCGCUAAUAGAUGAGCCUAAGUCGGAUUAGCUAGUUGGUGGGGUAAAGGCCUACCAAGGCGACGAUCUGUAGCGGGUCUGAGAGGAUGAUCCGCCACACGGGGACUGGGACACGGCCCAGACUCCGACGGGAGGCAGCAGUGGGGAAUAUUGGACAAUGGGGGGAACCCUGAUCCAGCCAUGCCGCGUGUGUGAAGAAGGCCUUAUGGUUGUAAAGCACUUUAAGCGAGGAGGAGGCUCUUUUGGUUAAUACCCAAGAUGAGUGGACGUUACUCGCAGAAUAAGCACCGGCUAACUCUGUGCCAGCCGCCGCAGUAA
rnacentral:rRNA from 1 species